AAUCCAUAGGUUAAUGAGGCGAACCGGGGGAACUGAAACAUCUAAGUACCCCGAGGAAAAGAAAUCAACCGAGAUUCCCCCAGUAGCGGCGAGCGAACGGGGAGGAGCCCAGAGCCUGAAUCAGCAUGUGUGUUAGUGGAAGCGUCUGGAAAGGCGCGCGAUACAGGGUGACAGCCCCGUACACAAAAGCGCAUGUGCUGUGAGCUCGAUGAGUAGGGCGGGACACGUGGUAUCCUGUCUGAAUAUGGGGGGACCAUCCUCCAAGGCUAAAUACUCCUGACUGACCGAUAGUGAACCAGUACCGUGAGGGAAAGGCGAAAAGAACCCCGGCGAGGGGAGUGAAAAAGAACCUGAAACCGUGUACGUACAAGCAGUGGGAGCACAGGUUUACCUGUGUGACUGCGUACCUUUUGUAUAAUGGGUCAGCGACUUAUAUUCUGUAGCAAGGUUAACCGAAUAG
rnacentral:rRNA from 1 species